rnacentral:rRNA from 1 species
GAUGAACGCUGGCGGCGUGCCUAAUACAUGCAAGUCGAGCGAACAGACGAGGAGCUUGCUCCUCUGACGUUAGCGGCGGACGGGUGAGUAACACGUGGAUAACCUACCUAUAAGACUGGGAUAACUUCGGGAAACCGGAGCUAAUACCGGAUAAUAUAUUGAACCGCAUGGUUCAAUAGUGAAAGACGGUUUUGCUGUCACUUAUAGAUGGAUCCGCGCCGCAUUAGCUAGUUGGUAAGGUAACGGCUUACCAAGGCCACGAUGCGUAGCCGACCUGAGAGGGGGAACCGGCACACUGGAACUGAGACACCGUCCUGGCUCCUACCGGAGGCCGCCAGUGGGAAUCCUGCCGCAAGGGGGGAAGCCUGAACGAGGAAAGGCGGCUUGAUGAAGAAAGGCCUUGGGUGGGAAAACUCCUUUAAUAGGGAAAAACAAAUUUGUUAAUAACCAAGCACGGUGUGACGGUACCGUAUUAAGAAGCCCCGGCUAACUACGUG